rnacentral:rRNA from 1 species
GAUGAACGCUAGCGGCAGGCUUAAUACAUGCAAGUCGAGGGGCAGCACGGUUAGCAAUAACUGGUGGCGACCGGCGCACGGGUGCGUAACACGUAUACAAUCUACCUUAAACAGGGGAUAGCCUUUCGAAAGAGAGAUUAAUACCCCGUAAUAAAUUGAACGGCAUCGUUUGAUUUUGAAAGCUCCGGCGGUUUGAGAUGAGUAUGCGUCUGAUUAGCUAGUUGGUGAGGUAACGGCUCACCAAGGCGACGAUCAGUAGGGGAUCUGAGAGGACUAACCCCCACACUGGUACUGAGACACGGACCAGACUCCUACGGGAGGCAGCAGUAAGGAAUAUUGGUCAAUGGAGGCAACUCUGAACCAGCCAUGCCGCGUGCAGGAUGACGGCCCUAUGGGUUGUAAACUGCUUUUAUACAAGAGAAAACCCUGGUACGUGUACCAGGUUGAUAGUAUUGUAAGAAUAAGCAAUCGGCUAACUUCGUGCCAGCAGCCGCGGU